rnacentral:rRNA from 1 species
UACGUAGGGGGCAAGCGUUGUCCGGAAUCAUUGGGCGUAAAGAGCGCGUAGGCGGUCCGGUAAGUCCGCUCUGAAAGUCCGGGGCUCAACCCCGGGAGGCGGGCGGAUACUGCCGGGCUAGAGUCCGGAAGAGGCGAGUGGAAUUCCUGGUGUAGCGGUGAAAUGCGCAGAUAUCGGGAAGAACACCCGUGGCGAAGGCGGUUCUCUGGGACGGUACUGACGCUGAGACGCGAAAGCGUGGGGAGCGAACAGG